UUCAAGGGAUUGUGAAAAGGAACGUGCGAAGUAACCAGCGGCGCAUGACCUGUGAUUAUACAUCUAUCUAGUAGCAAGACUCGGCUAAUUGACAGGUUGGGAGGGUCAAUAUAGGGUUCUGGAACAAGGAGACAAACGUGUGACAAAGAAAUACAAUUAACUAUGCCCUGCACCCUCUUAAGCACGCGCCUCUUAAUCGUCACAAUCCAAGAGUUCAUUAACCCCAUGGUAUAAAAAGGGCUUUAUUUUGGAUUGACAAGACCACAUAGUUACAAGUUAAAACUGACCUGGUGGUUGACCCCCACUUAAUUUUAGUGAAGAAAAAUAGAGCACAUAGCACGAGCGAAGCCGUGGCCGAAAGCUAUUGGAGCUAAAUCAAUACUUACUAAUAUUGUAAAGCUGAUGAAUUUG